UGUAAUGGAUGAUGUGAAAACAUGCAAAUACAACCAUGUAUUAGGGGGUCUUAAAAAGAAGAAUAAGAAGAAGAAGACAGCACCGACAUAAUCUUGAAAGCUUCUUGCAGCAAGCUCGACCCUCAAGAGCAUGGGUUGGCUUUUCUUGGUGUUUUCUCACUAAAAUAUACACACAGGAAGAGAGGAAGAGGGCAAGGAAGUUGUCACUUGUCACUUGUCACUUGUUUGGUCUCCAAGAUUCCUCAUUUUUCACUUGGUUUGGCUUGGCUUGCAUCCACUCUCUAGCUAGUGACUUACCUACUGCUGUAUAUCAUGCAAAGGGCAUUUUUUCAUGAGAUGGAUGGCAAGUCGUGAUAGAUGGAAAAUCAGUGUUAGAGAAAAUGGGUCAUAUUCUGUAUUGAAAUUUGAAAGUAAUAUUGGUCUCUACUAGAGGCCGCCCCUUGCAGUAUGGUAAGGGGUAUAUUGAAAAUCUUCAAUAUAUCGUGUUAGGGUUUCUUCGGAGGCGCUAUAAAGUUAUUGUAAAUGCUUGAUUU